rnacentral:rRNA from 1 species
AUGGCGUCUUCCGGUGCUGACCCUGCUGGGCGCCGAGCGACCCUCUCCGACGGCGACUGCGUGUCCUCUGGUGGCAGCGUGUUCGACUUGGAGAGCGAGCCCUCGCCACGUUCCUACAGCAACGUCGCCCGGACCCCGCCGGCCCCGACGCCCCCUCGGCAGCCCGCCUCGACCCGCCUCGGCCCCCGUUCCGAGGUGCACCGCGUCUCCGGCGGGGUUCACGUCGAUGCUGACGGCUUCCAGCAGCCACGAUGCAGGCACCGCAGAAGCCGCCCGCGCACUCCGGUCGGGCCAAGCCCUCCGCCGCUGCGCUGGUGCAGCCCAUCGCCAGAGAAGGUCGCGGGGCUCUGCUUCCGCUGCCUUGGCCAUCGUCAUUGGGUUCGGGACUGCCCCAACGACAUCCGCUGCCGCCGAUGCCUCGAGUCUGGCCACGACUCACGCUCCUGCGGAAGCAGGCGCCACGACGCCGCUGGACGUGCCCGCACCACCAACAACCGCGUUGGCCCCUCUGCCAUGGACGCCGCCAUGCGCCAGGCCGCACCUCCGCCGCCACCCCUGCCGCAGGCGACCGCCCUAGUCGUUGCCCCCCCCCCUCGCACGUCGGAGCCCGAGCCCAUGCGGGUGAUCAUGGCACACUCCGUCGAGAUGGAGGAGGCUGAGGAGGUCCUAAGCCGCGAAAUGGUCGCCUCCAUCACCGGCAACCGACCACGUGUAUCCGGCACAGAGGUCUCCGACGUGCUCAUCAACACGUUCGAGCUGGACGACGACGACUUCACCGUGCACGAACACCAUCCCGAGGAUUUCUUGAUCCUCUUCAGCUCCCACACCACCAAGCGCCGCCUCAACGGAGAGCACUUCAUCAACUUGCCGCGGUUCUCGCUCUCCCUCAGACCAUGGAGUAAGCUCGCCCAUGCUGGCUCCGGCGAGCUUGAGUACUACGUUGAGCUGGAGCUCCGCAGCGUUCCGGCACAGGCUUGGCACCUGUCCAGCGCCGAGCAUGUCCUGGGUACGAGCUGCUGGAUCGAACGCCUCCAUCCCAGGACGUGCUCCAGGGCCAAUCUUGCGACGUUCAAGCUGGCCGCGCGCACACACCACCCCGACAACAUCCAUCACGCCGCCGUUCUGGAGAUUGUUGAGCAGAUCCCUGCACGCCUGAGCUCCGACAAGCCCACCAUCAGGACCCUCACCUACCCUAUCGCCGAGAGGAUUGGCUGUGAAAACAGCUCAAGAUCUCAUACUUGGGGCUGGCUUCUAUCGAGCGCACGAUCGCGAGGCAGCGAGCGCGGAUCACCACGCUCAAGGACGGUGACGCUAACAUGA